UACGAAGGUGGCAAGCGUUGUUCGGAUUUACUGGGCGUACAGGGAGCGUAGGCGGUUGGAUAAGCCCUCCGUGAAAUCUCCAGGCUUAACCUGGAAAGUGCAGAGGGGACUGUUCAGCUAGAGGAUGGGAGAGGAGCGCGGAAUUCCCGGUGUAGCGGUGAAAUGCGUAGAGAUCGGGAGGAAGGCCGGUGCGAAGGCGGCGCUCUGGAACAUUUCGUGACUGCUGAGGCUCGAAAGGCGUGG
rnacentral:rRNA from 1 species